rnacentral:rRNA from 1 species
GAAAUGCGAUAAGUAAUGUGAAUUGCAGAAUUCAGUGAAUCAUCGAAUCUUUGAACGCAUCUUGCGCUCCUUGGUAUUCCGAGGAGCAUGCCUGUUUGAGUGUCAUUAAAGUUCUCAACCACAUACUACAUAUGUGGCUUGGAUGGUGGGGGUUUGCAGGCUUUCUCUGAGGGUCUGCUCCUCUGAAAUGCAUUAGUGGUAUUCCUGAGCUUUACUACAGAUGUGAUAAUUUAUCUACAUCCCAAAAGUAUGCUUCAACAACACCGCUCCUAACAAGCGAAAGCACAUUUCGAUGAAUUUGACCUCAAAUCAGGUAGACUACCCGCUGAACUUAAGCAUAUCAAUAAGCGGAAGGAAAAAGAAACUAACAAGGAUUCCCCUAGU